rnacentral:rRNA from 1 species
CACGUAGGGGGCGAGCGUUGUCCGGAUUUAUUGGGCGUAAAGAGCUCGUAGGCGGUUUCGUUAGUCGGGUGUGAAAACCCCAGGCUCAACCUGGAGACGCCACUUGAUACUGCUGUGACUGGAGUCCGGUAGGGGAGCGUGGAAUUCCUGGUGUAGCGGUGAAAUGCGCAGAUAUCAGGAGGAACACCAGCGGCGAAGGCGGCGCUCUGGGCCGGUACUGACACUGAGGAGCGAAAGCGUGGGUAGCAAACAGG